CGAAAUGCGAUAAGUAAUGUGAAUUGCAGAAUUCAGUGAAUCAUCGAACCUUUGAACGCACAUUGCGCCCGCCAGUAUUCUGGCGGGCAUGCCUGUCCGAGCGUCAUUUCAACCAUCAAGCCCCCGGGCUUGUGUUGGGGACCUGCGGCUGCCCGCAGGCCCUGAAAACCAGUGGCGGGCUCGCUGUCACACCGAGCGUAGUAGCAAUCACCUCGCUCAGGGCGUGCUGCGGGUUCCGGCCGUUAAACAGCCUUACAAAACCCAAGGUUGACCUCGGAUCAGGUAGGAAGACCCGCUGAACUUAAGC
rnacentral:misc_RNA from 1 species